UCUUAGUUUUUACGAAGUUUUGAUUCACAGACACACAGUUAGGAAAGAUAAAGGAACAAAAGAUAAAAAAUGGUUAUGGAAAAAAAAGUAGGAAUCAUUGAUAGACUUUAUCAACUAUAUAUAGACUUUCCAUGUUUUUAGAGUUUAGUCUAUAAGACAGAUGAACAAUGAGAACAAUGAGAACAAUGAGAAUGCAAAUCUAACAUGCCUAAUGUCCUCAUCACACCUGCAAUAUUUUUAUUUGAUGAAUCGAUAAAGAAGCUUUUAAUGAUUGAAAUACAAAAAAAAUGCCAAUAUCAUCUUUUAAUUAUUUCACUUUUUUCAGUGAAAUUAUAUUUUUUUUUUACUGCAAAUGGGUAUUUUAGAGCUUAGAAUUCAGUCUCAUUUGAUGUGUAAAAUAACUAUGAAUGUAAACAUGCCAAAGAU
rnacentral:sRNA from 1 species